rnacentral:rRNA from 1 species
GAUGAACGCUGGCGGCGUGCCUAAUACAUGCAAGUCGAGCGAACGGACGAGAAGCUUGCUUCUCUGAUGUUAGCGGCGGACGGGUGAGUAACACGUGGAUAACCUACCUAUAAGACUGGGAUAACUUCGGGAAACCGGAGCUAAUACCGGAUAAUAUUUUGAACCGCAUGGUUCAAAAGUGAAAGACGGUCUUGCUGUCACUUAUAGAUGGAUCCGCGCUGCAUUAGCUAGUUGGUAAGGUAACGGCUUACCAAGGCAACGAUGCAUAGCCGACCUGAGAGGGUGAUCGGCCACACUGGAACUGAGACACGGUCCAGACUCCUACGGGAGGCAGCAGUAGGGAAUCUUCCGCAAUGGGCGAAAGCCUGACGGAGCAACGCCGCGUGAGUGAUGAAGGUCUUCGGAUCGUAAAGCUCUGUUAUUAGGGAAGAACAUAUGUGUAAGUAACUGUGCACAUCUUGACGGUACCUAAUCAGAAAGCAACGGCUAACUACGUG